UCGCUUAAUGCGAGACAUAUAGCUCUCGCGUCCAUGUCCCGGGUGGCUCUGCAGCGACCCACUAUUCCUUGCCCCCGGUCCGUGCUGUGCUCGCCGCCGCUGUUGAAGGAGGAUCCGGCCGUCGGCUUCGGUGCUUGCACUCCCCCAUCUAAAAUCCCCAAGGAAAUUGUUUCCAAGCUCAACAUCUGAGGAGUGGAGUGAUUGCACUGACGAUGGGUGAAGGACACAACACAAAUUCAGGUAUAUGACACUGCACCUGACGAGUGUAUGUAGUUUUAAAGGCAGUAUGUAUGCUUGUUCUAAGGGCUGACUUCGAUAUAGGAAUAGCUAAAAACAAAUUUCUUCAGUUUAAUCGGUAUGGGACAUUCAGUUAUUGAGUUAUGUGUCACCAGUUAGUUUGUUUUGGACAUCACGUUUUGUGUUUUAUGAAUAUGUGUACCUUUUCUGUAAGCUGUCAAAUUGACCAAGACAACCAUUUGUUCACCAAUAUUUACAUGAUGUACCAGGCUUUAAUUUAGUUUUUUACUGUUA